AUGCUGAUGAAGAGUCCAAAACUAGGACGAAACAGCUGUCCGGUAC
rnacentral:hammerhead_ribozyme from 1 species